rnacentral:lncRNA from 1 species
CUUAGAGGCCCUAGAAGCUGGCCCUGGCCAUUUCAUUCCAAAUAUGUCCUGGAUGCCAGAGUGGCCAGGAAAAACACUUGAGAACAGUGUUCUCAAUAUUUAGCAUGCAUAAGAACCACCCUGUAAACUUGGUAAUGCUGAUGUUGUCGGUCUGCAGACCUCACUCUGAGCAAGGCACCGCGUUGGAGAGGGUUGCUAUCAGAAGAGGUCAAGUCAUUACUUUCUCUUCAAUCAAGUCAACAAUGGGUGCUAAUUGGAAAGCAAUUUUCUGCAGGACCGCUCCAGUGGCUGACGUCUGCUCCUGGCCUUCUCCUCCUGAUGACCACCAGCCACUCCAGGCUCACAGUCUCCCAGUUCAGCCGCUCCAGUGGAAAGAGCACCUUUCCAAGUACCUACAGACAACACUCCCAGACUGCUUCUCAUUGGCCUGCUUCAGGACACUUGCC